GACGAAGGGGGCUAGCGUUGUUCGGAAUUACUGGGCGUAAAGCGCGUGUAGGCGGUUGUUCGAGUCAGGUGUGAAAGCCUUGAGCUCAACUCAAGAAAUGCACUUGAUACUGGAUGACUAGAGGACCGGAGAGGAUAGUGGAAUUCCCAGUGUAGUGGUGAAAUACGUAGAGAUUGGGAAGAACACCAGUGGCGAAGGCGGCUAUCUGGACGGUUUCUGACGCUAAGACGCGAAAGCGUGGGGAGCAAACAGG
rnacentral:rRNA from 1 species